AAUGCUCAAAGACAGCAUUGAGGUAUUUAGUUUUCAGUAAUGGGUCAGACAAACACAUGAUCGAAGUUGGCAGUAAAAAUCGUAUUCGAUAUUGUUUAAUGUCGGUUGUCAAGUCACAGAGCCUGAACUAUGCUGUACCAACUUCCGCCCAAAAAGGCAAAAACGAGGAAGAAACUAACAGGUGGCCCAGCUAAAGUGGAAGAACGGAGAGAAGUGGAAUAAACUUGUAGGGUGGCAGUUAUUUCAAGAACCCUGUCUUGAGUUCUUAGAAAUAAUCUGUGAAUCACAUGUGUUGCGCAACAUUUUCCCUGAAAAGAAAAAGUUUUCCCUUUGGUUGCUAUGUUGAUGUAAAUCCAUUGGAUGUACCACUUGAUGUGCUCGCAAGUCACUCCACUUCUCGUCCAGUAUACAUGCUGUACCCACAGAAAGGAUAUAAACAUAAAUUACACAAAAGUAUAUGCUUUGAAACUGCAAAAAUUAACAUGGACUGAAUCUUACCAUAUGUAUUAUAUGACAGUGUUGAUGUAUUGAUAACCAAAUGGGUGACUUUCAAUAAAUACACACUUGUUUGAAAUUUUUGUUUGUUUAUUUUUUUCCUCCCUCCCUCGUAGGUUUUAAAUUUUCAUGUUACGUUAAACGUAGAAUUAAUUUUAAACAGCCUUAUGUGGAAAAAUUCAGAUUUAGAUAAUGUAUUUCAUUUGGCUGUGUAUUCUUUUUGACAUUUUUGGCGAUAAGCUGCUUUCC